UUUCAUUACUGUAAACAAGGCUACAAAAGUGUGGAGUUAGUGGAGCAAAUGCCACAAAAAGAUCAAACUGCCAUAUUCACAGCUGGAAGGAGCAAAAGAGAAGGAACAGAAGUGAAUCAAAGAACUGAGCAUAUUGAUGUCCUCGAGCAUGGAAGUCAGGUGGUUGAGGGAGUAGUCAUGUUCUUUGCUCCUGAGUAAUCACAGCAUUCUGGGUGUAUCCUCUUGUUGUCAAUGGCCAAAGUACUCUUAAGAAAACAUAGGUAAGCUUUCAUUCUUUUCCUUCAAGUAAAUCGUGUUGCUUGUUCUUGAUUGCACUGUCAUAUUGAAUUUUGCAUUUCAAUGGAUAAAUUUGAAUGUGAGAAACAUUUGUUUAGUGUGUCCUGAGAGGAGAGCAAGGAAAAGAAUAGAUGCCAACAUUUGUACCUUUUUUUUUGUAAUGUAUACUUUGAAGAGAUCUAAUUAAUUGCGUUUUUGUGUGUGACAGAUUUUCAAAGACAUUGACAGGUAAUGAGAAACUUUGUGCGGUAUCUACUGAAAACUUUAUGCCAAGAAUCACUUAAAAGACUCGAUGAGUAAUUAUAAUUUGAAAGAAGAAUACUACAGUCUAGACAGUGGGGAAUUGACAUCUGCUCUUCAAUAAAGUUUGCUCAAGUUUGACAGGAAAAGGGAUGGUUGUUUCAGUAUUACAAAAAAUUAACAAGUAAUAUUGUGAAGGUUUUGCUUAUAAAAUUAUGAAGUCAUGGUAGUGAAUGAUUGGAUGCUUGUGAAAGCCAAUUAGAUGUAGAGUUUUCUAAGUUGCAAUAAGAUUGUUUAUGCUUUAUCAGAUACUUUGGUAAGUUUGAAGGUAAGGUCAGAAGCAGAUGACUCUGUCAAAUGGAGAUGAGAGACUACUGAAUUUAUGACUGUUCAAAAGCUGUGUGGUCUUGUCAAAGCAUUUAUAUAUCAACAGCUUAGGAGGAAAGUCUUUAAAAAUGUAGUAUAAAGUGGGAAUGGGGUUGCAAAAGGAUAGUCGUCUCUCAUGUGCCACUCAUGCAUCUUAUUUUUUUUGGCAUUCUUACCAAAUAACGUGUUUCCAGAUUUUUAGGUAUUUGGUGAGAAUUUACUGGGUUCUGGCCUCAAGACAUCAAAAUCUGUCUCUCUCUCCUCCCAAAAAUCAGUCGCAUCAUUUUCUUCUCUUCUUCUUUAGUUCUUCUUCUUCCUAAUUUCUUUUACCCCCUUGAAUCUGAUCUUCUUCUAACCAAUCUACCUAAUCAACAAACGAAGAAGUUUUUUCCUAGAGAUACUUGUACCCACUCCGACUCUCUCUUGAAGAACAGAGGAAAAGCUGCUUAAGCUGAAUUAGGAAGAUGACUAAUCCAUCUCCAUCAUCCGAUCUGAAUAAUUUGUAAAUACAAUCAUGAGAACUGGCAAGGAAGGUAUGAUACUUGAAGCUGAUAAGAUGACUUUGAGUUUGAUUGUAAUAUAAAGUGGAAUAUGGUUGUCCUCUUGGGUGUCGCUCAUGUGACUUCAUAGGUACUUGUGUUCCAAUUUGACAUUACAUUUUCUUUUGCUAGGCAGUGGUUGUUCUUAUGUAUACUUGAAGCUGAUAAAAUGACUUUUGAGUUUGAUUGUAGUAUAAGUGGAAUGAGCUGCUAGAGAAUGGUUGGGUUCUUGGGUGUCGCUCAUGUGACUUCAUAGGCACUUAUGUUCCAAUUUGACAUUACAUUUUCUUUUGCUA